CCUACGGGAGGCAGCAGUAAGGAAUAUUGGACAAUGCUCGCAAGAGUGAUCCAGCCAUGCCGCGUGCAGGAAGAAUGCCCUAUGGGUAGUAAACUGCUUUUGAACUAGAGAAAACCCCAGUACGUGUACUGGGCUGAUAGUAUAGUUAGAAUAAGCAUCGGCUAACUUCGUGCCAGCAGCCGCGGUAAGACGAAGGAUGCAAGCGUUAUCCGGAUUCAUUGGGUUUAAAGGGAGCGUAGGUGGACUGAUAAGUCAGUGGUGAAAUCUCCGAGCUUAACUCGGAAAUUGCCAUUGAUACUGUUGGUCUUGAGUACAGUUGCUGUGGGCGGAAUAUGACAUGUAGUGGUGAAAUACAUAGAGAUGUCAUAGAACACCGAUUGCGAAGGCAGCUCACAAAGCUGUAACUGACACUGAGGCUCGAAAGUGCGGGGAUCAAACAGGAUUAGAUACCCUGGUAGUCCGCACCGUAAACGAUGAUUACUCGCUGCUAGGGGGCAACCUUUAGUGGCUUAGCGAAAGCGAUAAGUAAUCCACCUGGGGAGUACGCCGGCGACGGUGAAACGUCAAAGGAAUUGACGGCGNGAGAGNGCGACGGACGACACGAGGGGAGGAGG
rnacentral:rRNA from 1 species